AUGCUCUGGUUUCUCUUCAUCAUACGAGCUAAUCUUUCGCCUUUUACUAAAGAUUACCGUGGAGAGGAACAUUACAAUGAGCCUAAACUGAAUUUUUGGAAUCCCACCUUAAGGGUGGGGC
rnacentral:snRNA from 1 species